rnacentral:rRNA from 1 species
AUGAACGCUAGCGACAGGCUUAACACAUGCAAGUCGAGGGGCAGCACAGGUAGCAAUACCGGGUGGCGACCGGCGCACGGGUGAGUAACGCGUAUGCAACUUACCUAUCAGAGGGGGAUAACCCGGCGAAAGUCGGACUAAUACCGCAUGAAGCAGGGGCCCCGCAUGGGGAUAUUUGCUAAAGAUUUAUCGCUGAUAGAUAGGCAUGCGUUCCAUUAGGCAGUUGGCGGGGUAACGGCCCACCAAACCGACGAUGGAUAGGGGUUCUGAGAGGAAGGUCCCCCACAUUGGUACUGAGACACGGACCAAACUCCUACGGGAGGCAGCAGUGAGGAAUAUUGGUCAAUGGGCGCGAGCCUGAACCAGCCAAGUCGCGUGAGGGAUGAAGGUUCUAUGGAUCGUAAACCUCUUUUAUAAGGGAAUAAAGUGCGGGACGUGUCCCGUUUUGUAUGUACCUUAUGAAUAAGGAUCGGCUAACUCCGUGCCAGCAGCCGCGGUAAUACGGAGGAUCCGAGCGUUAUCCGGAUUUAUUGGGUUUAAAGGGUGCGUAGGCGGCCUUUUAAGUCAGCGGUGAAAGUCUGUGGCUCAACCAUAGAAUUGCCGUUGAAACUGGGGGGCUUGAGUAUGUUUGAGGCAGGCGGAAUGCGUGGUGUAGCGGUGAAAUGCUUAGAUAUCACGCAGAACCCCGAUUGCGAAGGCAGCCUGCCAAGCCAUGACUGACGCUGAUGCACGAAAGCGUGGGGAUCAAACAGGAUUAGAUACCCUGGUAGUCCACGCAGUAAACGAUGAUCACUAGCUGUUUGCGAUACAGUGUAAGCGGCACAGCGAAAGCGUUAAGUGAUCCACCUGGGGAGUACGCCGGCAACGGUGAAACUCAAAGGAAUUGACGGGGGCCCGCACAAGCGGAGGAACAUGUGGUUUAAUUCGAUGAUACGCGAGGAACCUUACCCGGGUUUGAACGCAUUCGGACCGAGGUGGAAACACCUUUUCUAGCAAUAGCCGUUUGCGAGGUGCUGCAUGGUUGUCGUCAGCUCGUGCCGUGAGGUGUCGGCUUAAGUGCCAUAACGAGCGCAACCCUUGCCACUAGUUACUAACAGGUAAAGCUGAGGACUCUGGUGGGACUGCCAGCGUAAGCUGCGAGGAAGGCGGGGAUGACGUCAAAUCAGCACGGCCCUUACAUCCGGGGCGACACACGUGUUACAAUGGCGUGGACAAAGGGAUGCCACCUGGCGACAGGGAGCGAAUCCCCAAACCACGUCUCAGUUCGGAUCGGAGUCUGCAACCCGACUCCGUGAAGCUGGAUUCGCUAGUAAUCGCGCAUCAGCCAUGGCGCGGUGAAUACGUUCCCGGGCCUUGUACACACCGCCCGUCAAGCUAUGGGAGCCGGGGGUACCUGAAGUCCGUAACCGCGAGGAUCGGCCUAGGGUAAAACUGGUGACUGGGGCU